rnacentral:rRNA from 1 species
UACGUAGGAGGCAAGCGUUAUCCGAAAUGACUGGGCGUAAAGGGUGCGUAGGUGGUUUGACAAGUUGGUAGCGUAACUCCGGGGCUCAACCUCGGCACUACUACCAAAACUGUUGGACUUGAGUGCAGGAGGGGCAAAUGGAAUUCCUAGUGUAGCGGUGGAAUGCGUAGAUAUUAGGAGGAACACCAGUGGCGAAGGCGAUUUGCUGGACUGUAACUGACACUGAGGCACGAAAGCGUGGGGAGCAAACAGG